AAUGCUCUCGGUAGAUUUCAGCCAGGAUGGAUGGAUGUCCUCUACCUUCUUGUUCUUCAAGGCUCUCAUCCUCACUAUGAAAUCUCUCAAACCACCAUCGUACUGUCCAAUCACUAGUGGACCCUUCACCUGUUGAUAUUGGCAGCUGUUUGGGAAGCAUUAUGUCCAAGCUUGAAUUCAUGCAAUAAAAGUAAACACAUUUCUUGUUUUUUCAUUAUUUGAAAUUAAGGAUUUCUACACUUCAAAAUUAUAUUCUGAAAGAAAUCAAUAAAAACUAAUUAAAGAGUACA